rnacentral:rRNA from 1 species
UACGUAGGGGGCUAGCGUUGUCCGGAUUUAUUGGGCGUAAAGAGCGUGUAGGCGGCCAGGUAGGUCUGCUGUGAAAACUCGAGGCUCAACCUCGAGACGUCGGCGGAAACCAUCUGGCUAGAGUCCGGAAGAGGAGAGUGGAAUUCCUGGUGUAGCGGUGAAAUGCGCAGAUAUCAGGAAGAACACCGGUGGCGAAGGCGCUCUGCUAGGCCGCAACUGACACUGAGGGACGAAAGCUAGGGGAGCGAAUGGG